GGUGUUCAGGGUCAUCCCCCCCUGAUCCUGGACACCGACGGCCCCGGCUUCCCCCCCGCCGGGGCCGUCCCCU
rfam:Serinicoccus sp. JLT9, complete genome.